AUGAAAUCCUUGAGUGUUUCCCUAGUGGUCCUGUGGCUCCAGUUAAACUGGGUGAACAGCCAGCAGAAGGUGCAGCAGAGCCCAGAAUCCCUCAUUGUCCCAGAGGGAGCCAUGACCUCUCUCAACUGCACUUUCAGCGACAGUGCUUCUCAGUAUUUUGCAUGGUACAGACAGCAUUCUGGGAAAGCCCCCAAGGCACUGAUGUCCAUCUUCUCCAAUGGUGAAAAAGAAGAAGGCAGAUUCACAAUUCACCUCAAUAAAGCCAGUCUGCAUUUCUCCCUGCACAUCAGAGACUCCCAGCCCAGUGACUCUGCUCUCUACCUCUGUGCAGUGAGCA